UACGUAGGGCGCAAGCGUUAAUCGGAAUUACUGGGCGUAAAGGGUGCGUAGGCGGUUCGUUAAGUCUGUCGUGAAAUCCCCGGGCUCAACCUGGGAAUGGCGAUGGAUACUGGCGAGCUAGAGUGUGUCAGAGGAUGGUGGAAUUCCCGGUGUAGCGGUGAAAUGCGUAGAGAUCGGGAGGAACAUCAGUGGCGAAGGCGGCCAUCUGGGACAACACUGACGCUGAAGCACGAAAGCGUGGGGAGCAAACAGG
rnacentral:rRNA from 1 species